UGUGCCCGGCUCCGCCCCCCGCCCCGGUUACUUAGCAACCGGCAGGCCUUCCCCAUCUCGAAUCCCGCCCACUUCUCCGUGGCCCCCUCCCUAGAACGGCUAGAACGCCCCUCCUUAGAGCUCUUUCUCCCCAUCCUUAAAUGGUUGCUAUAGAAACGGGGAACCGGUCUGCACGUUGUCUCCUGGAUCCCCGCGGUUGCUAUAGCAACUGUGACCCUUCACAGUACACCUCCAUCCUGCCCACCCUGGGUACUACAAAUUGCCAAUCCUGGAUCCCUUUCUCCCCCCGCCCACAGGUUGCCAUAGCAAUCCUGCUGGCCUCAGGGAGGCUCUUCUCCAACCCCAGCCAAUCCCGCCGCGCCUCCCGAGCCUGGUUGUUUGCCAUGGCAAUACUUUGGGCUUCGAACCCUUACCUUAUUCUCUCCUCUCCCCAGAAUUUCAGGAUACCCUGGGCCAGGAUCAAUGGCCCUCCCCCCCAAACCCCCUAGGCCAGUUGCCAUGGGAACCACCUUCGAGUUGUUACCAUGGUCCCCUUAAUCUUGCCCCUUCCCAGACAUCUGCCGAGUCCAUCCUAGCUCUGUUGGUUGCUAUAGUAUCCAGGCCUAGUACCACACCUAGACCCCGGUGAGCUAAUACCCAGAGAAAGAAAGAGUGAUUGCCAUGACACCUGCCUCCCAACUACACAUGGGUAACAAGCCAGAGAGAGGAUUGGGAAGGGGUCCCGAUUAGGAAGGAUGGUUGCUGUGGUAACAGGCUCUUCUCAGUCUCUUUAAGCAGGAAAAGCAGUCAACCUUGGAGAUUUCUGUACUCCUCUGUCCUAAAAAGGCCUUCAAAGAACCAGAACAUCCCUUUUACAGACGGGAAAACUGAAGCCCAGAGAAAGGAAGGGACUUUUCCUAAGGGCACGCAGGAAAGCAGGGUCAGAGCUAGGAUUGCCACCAGGGCCUUGGAGAUGAUGUCCCCGCUCCAUCCCGCGGUCCACUGGCUGCCAAGAUCCCGGG
rnacentral:lncRNA from 1 species